CAUGCAAGUCGAGGGGCAUCGCGUUGUAGCAAUACAAUGGCGGCGAACGGCGAAAGGGUGAGUAACGCGUGAGCAACAUGCCCGGUAGAGGAGGAUAGUCGAUGGAAACGUCGUGUAAUACUCCGUAGCAACAGACCCCGCAUGAGGUUUGUUUAAUAGAUUAAUCGCUAUCGGAUUGGCUCGCGUCCCAUUAGGCAGUUGGCGGGGUAACGGCCCACCAAACCGACGAUGGGUAGGGGUUCUGAGAGGAAGGUCCCCCACAUUGGAACUGAGACACGGUCCAGACUCCUACGGGAGGCAGCAGUGAGGAAUAUUGGUCAAUGGCCGAGAGGCUGAACCAUCCAUGCCGCGUGCGGGAGGACGGCCCUAUGGGUUGUAAACCGCUUUUGUUGGGGGGCAAUAAGGCGUACGUGUACGCCGAUGAGAGUACCCAGCGAAUAAGCA
rnacentral:rRNA from 1 species